AUCCAUUUCAAUCCCCAAUACAAACACAUAGAACAUCAUCCCAAAUUCAGCUAUAUUGGUCAAUGUUAGUACCCAGUUUUCAUUGAAGGAGUCGCGUAUAUACGAAGAGGAAUGUCAAAGUUUCUUCAACUCUUGUUUGUUCAGUGGUGGUUGUGAAUGAUUGCUUAAUAUGAGGAGAAAAUGGAGGAGCAAGUUAAGGAGAGAUCAUCAAGUUAUAUAUGUUUGUGCUUUUCCUUCCUCCAUGGCUGCUAGUAUCUUGACAGACGGAGACAAGUUCACUUGAUCUGUGCAGCGCGGCUGCGGAAACUCCGUCACCAAAUCCUUGAUGCCGCCGCUCCCGAUCACAGAUCUAUGCUUCUUAACCUCCGGAUAACAGAUGUCAUUUAACGAACCGGAAAGCAAGUUCCGAAUCAUCCCAGCUUCUCCGAAUUACUGCCGGAACCAGAAAACAAGUCCCUGGCUCAUCCCAGCUUCUCCACCAUCACCGCCGAUUCAGUAACUACAGCUUAGAGAUGUAACUCGAUAAAAUAAAUUUUACAUAAAGAGGAAAGAGAGAAAACACACGUGUCUUGUCUAAAUACCAUAGGAUUGAAUGAAUGGAUGUGAUUUAAUAAAUUCUAGGAAUUUCAACAAUUGAGGAUUCCAGCGCCCCCAUCCCAUCCCAUACAACCGCAGGAUUGAAAUAUUUCUGAUCCACGUGUACGCCUAGGAUUCAAAUGAAAGAAAACUAUGAUGCUAGUGGGAAUAGCAGAUCAUACUCUUCAAUGAAA